AUGCAGGAAACUGAUCAGGCCGGAGCUUCGGCUCGGAGCCGGGUUACGAAAGUAACAGUGGAAAGCCACGGGACAGCC
rnacentral:ncRNA from 1 species